AAUUGACAAUGUAAUUUCCUGAUGGGCUGGUUCAAGCACCAUAGGAGUGGUCUGUGUGGCUGAGAAUCAUCACGGGGGUUUGUUAACAAAACUCCAGAAACGAUCUCAAAGCUCCGAAAGUCCCUAAAGAUGGGAGAGCAUGGAGGUGAGGAAGGAUUGAGGGAAGAGAAACCGAAAGACAUCGUAGACAGAGCCAAAUUGAUUCCAGAGCGUGGGAUUGGGCAAAUAGAGAGAGAAAGAAAAUCUAAACCCUCCAGGCGAAUCCUUCUACCUGCCUGUCCGGAGCUCUGUGGAGGGGAGCAGCACUAGCGAACAGGUGGAGACAGCCAAGCAUGGCGAAUGGAUUUCAAGUGGAGUGUCAGGGCCACUGAUUCCGUGUCAGCUAACCUUUCUCUGCAGCCUACAAGAAAGGACGCAUGUCUGCUCAUUACCAUAAUCCAACACUGUCCCUCCGAGGCUUUAAUUAAAAGCAGCAAGCAGAGCUAACAGAGCGUGGAACUUUGGUCAGCUCUUCUUUCAUUCCCUUGGCCACACCCCCCAGAUGUCGGGUAUUGGGCAGCAUCUGCCAGACGGAAAUAAGAGGAAGAUCCGUGAAGUAGAAACUUACUUGAUCCCUGGACAUUUUUACCCCACACAGGAUAGCGUUUCUUAUCGCCAACUGAAAUUUUAGAUAUAUUUUUUAAAUCCUCCAGAACCUCCCAACUCCUUUUUAAAGGAGUCCUUUUCAAUUUCCCCAACUCGGCGUUUUAUGCCCCAAUUUCUCUCGUCCUUUUAAAAGUGUCUUUCAAACAAACGUGUCAUUGUGCCGGGAUGUCGAGCCGUCACGUCGGGCAACAGCAGGGACACAAUCAUUAAAAUGCAGUUUUACCUAACAAUACGGUGAAAAGGUCCUCGCUGCACCACGCUAAUAGGGG